AGGUUGCAUUAAUUUGGAGGGCACACGGGAAGGAGCUCGCUCACAUCAGCACAAAACUGAAGCCAGCUGACGUGUUGGAAUUAAUUGGGCCAGGAGGCCGCUGGUCCCCUGGCUUCUUCUGUGGCUGGUCUUUGUGGAUUUUUCUCUUGCUUCUCUCCCAGCAAGUGCCGGGGCUGGGGUGGGAGUGUAACAGUCCUUACUCUGCAUGCAUUUGCGACUAGCAGAUGAAAGCUGCUGCUGGAGCCAGUCUAAUUGGAGAGAAUUGCAGUUUAGAGGAUUUCUUACACAAGUGGUAUAUUUACAACAUCUCCUUCCCCCUCCUGAGACUCCUCCCAUGUGACGCUCACCUCCCCCACGUGACCUCGCCCUCUUUAAUCUACAUAUGCAAAUCUAAGUGCUGCCUGCUGAGUUCAUUUAUGGACAAUGCCUCUCUCACCAAACUGCCUUCUGCUGGUCUGCUGGAACUCUGGGAAGGUUCACCGGCUCAAGAUUAUCACACUGAGGACCGAACUUACUAGGGGAACACACUCAGUUCCUAGCAGCCAGCCUGCCCUCAUCUUCUCCUUCUGACAGCAUUAAGAAGUAGCAACUUGGAAAGGAAACUGAGCUAUGGUUCAGUCUGGUUCACACACCAAGCCUUUGGAAGCCACGCUGCCUUGGUGUUUGUGUUUUCUCAAGGUUGGUCUGUUUCCAUGGAGCGAUCCUCCUGCAGUAGCCUCCCAAGUCAUGGGAUUUCAUGCCUAUACCACCUAGCUCGGGAAUAUGGAAUUCCUAAGAACUCUAAUUCCUUCCAUAAUGGUAUUCAGUUCUGCUUCUUAUUGCCAACUGUAGCCAUUUUUGCAGAGUUUUGGAUUCUCUUUUGUUAGCAUCAAGGUAAUUUCAGAGCAAUGACUCUUGUAAAUUUAAAGUAUUUACCCAGAAAAAAAAAUGGGGGUUGGGAGGACAAUCUAAUAAAUCAAACCGCUUACUAAAACUAGAAUUAGAUAAAAAUAUUAAUUUAAAACUGAAAAAUAAAUGCCCAAAGCUAAGUCUGCCCCCCAUGUCUGUACCCUAACCCUUGUCAAGGCUGCCUCUGAGCCCUUUCCCACCAAAGGCUUGGAGUAUAGACUCCACAAACAUUUUUCCAGGGAUCAGCCCACACCACCCACGGCUAGCCACAGGUCUCGCCUCCUCUAUUUGAAAAAUAAAAACAAACCAUCUUCAAAAAAAAAAAAAAAAAA
rnacentral:lncRNA from 1 species